AAAGUUUUAGUUUAAUAAAAAUAAUUCAUUUACAAUGAGGGGAUUUAAUAAUUAAAAAUUUUA
rnacentral:tRNA from 1 species